CAAAGCGGGACAGCAAAGUCCUGGACAGAAAAGGCCACUGGGAGAGUUUCCUGGGGCUCAGCCAGGCUGCUGUCUUGUUCACACCCCCAGGAGGGUAAAGUGCUCUGGGUUAUCCAUAGCUCACUCAGUAGGGGUAAGUGAGAGGAAGGGGAGGUGAGCAGGAACAGACAUAUUGAUGACGGGGCUCAUACAACGUGAUUUUGUCAUUCCAGCCACCUGGUGUCCUCCGUGGGUUUCGGAUCCCAAGCUAAUGCCCCCUUUUCCCUACUAUAGCAAUGUUGAAGGCCCCUUCAGCACCCCUAUUGCCCUUCAUACCAUAAUUUGGCUGAAUAACUCCAGUCCCCACCUUGUCCCAUGAAUUCUCAACAGGUUUCAGUAGGGGUUCAGUGUGGUUUCCUGGUCUUCUCCCUUCCCCUUUGCUUGAGUGAUGUAGUGGGUUGAACACAUCCCCCCACAAAAGUAUGUCUAAGUCCUAACCCCUGGAACCUAUGGAGGUAACUUCCUUUGGAUAAAAAGUUCUUUGCAAAUGUAAUGUAAGGAUCUUGAGGUCAAAUCAUCCAGGAUUUAGCCGGGCACCGUAGAUCCAAGGACACCUGAAGAAGAGGAGAGGACACACAGACCCAGAGGAAAAGGUUAUGUGAAGAUGGAGUCAGGAAUUGAUGAGCACCACAAGCCAAGGUACAGCAAAGAUGGCCAGCAGCCACCAGAAGCUAAGAGAGAGGCAUGGAACAUGUUCUCCCUCAGAGCCUACAGAAGGAGCCAGCCCUGACAACACCUUCACUUUGGACUUCUGGCCUCCACCAAAUGAGAGAAUAAGUUUCUGUUGUUUUCCGCCACCCAGUUUGUUAAUUUGUUAUGGCAACGCCACGAAACUAGGAGAGUAUAAUUUGGAAAAGAUCUUUAAGAUCCGCCACCCAGUUUGUUAAUUUGUUAUGGCAACGCCAGGAAACUAAGCACCAGCCCUUUCACCUGAUGUCAGAGCAGCACAGCUGAAAGCUGUAACCUGGGUGAGGUGGAGGGCGACUAGCAGGCAUGCGCAGCCCAGCUCACUUCCGACUCACAUUUCAAGUGCUCAACAGACACAUGUGACAAGUGGCUACUAUGUUGGACAGCAGAGAUCUAGACCCUCUAGUGAAGCCCCGAUCAGAAUUG
rnacentral:lncRNA from 10 species